UACGUAGGGUGCAAGCGUUAAUCGGAAUUACUGGGCGUAAAGCGUGCGCAGGCGGUUUUGUAAGUUUGUCGUGAAAUCCCCGGGCUCAACCUGGGAAUUGCGAUGAAGACUGCAAGGCUAGAAUCUGGCAGAGGGGGGUAGAAUUCCACGUGUAGCAGUGAAAUGCGUAGAGAUGUGGAGGAACACCGAUGGCGAAGGCAGCCCCCUGGGUCAAGGAUUGACGCUCAUGCACGAAAGCGUGGGGAGCAAACAGG
rnacentral:rRNA from 1 species